GGGGCCUUUGACAGUUGAGGCUUUUUUGUGCAGUAGCAAAUAUGGGAAGGACAUGGAUAGAUAUGAAGAAUACAGUAAAGCAGUACCAGCAAUAUUGGUGGCUGCUUUCACUCUCUCUUUUGUGACGAAGCUCAACUUGCAGGAGAAUAUGCACUUGAUAGAUUAUGUCAUUGCAAGCGAAUGGGUUCAACCUCAGUGGCUGAAAUUUUUGUUUGCCUCGCUUUAUAACCUCAGCAUCCUCUUUUAUAGGAAUAAGCAAGUAGAAGAGGAGCAAGGAUUUGUAAGGAAUGGACAUGCUGAUAAAUGGGAAAGGGUUCACCAAAUUCGAGAUAAGUUUGAAUAUGAUAGAGAGAGAAUCUGUGCAAAAAGAUGGCUCCUCCUCUUGUUACGUUACUCUCUGCAGAACCAGAGAUACAUUAUGUUGCCUUAAGAAAUAUCAACCUCAUUGUCCAAAGGCGGCCUACUAUUCUCGCCCAUGAAAUUAAGGUGUUUUUCUGCAAGUACAGUGACCCAAUUUAUGUGAAGAUGGAGUAGUUAGAAAUCAUGAUAAAGCUUGCU